UCAGUGGUACAUGAUGACUAACUUUUUUCCCCAUCAGAUCGGCAAUGCUGAUAAAAACUUGCUUCUAGCCAGUUGGUCUGAUUCCACUGA